UAAGACGGAGGGUGCAAGCGUUGUUCGGAAUUACUGGGCGUAAAGGGCGCGUAGGCGGCCCGCUAAGUUCGGCGUGAAAGCCCCCGGCUCAACUGGGGAACGGCGCUGGAUACUGGCGGACUCGAGUACCGGAGAGGAGGGUGGAAUUCCUGGUGUAGCGGUGAAAUGCGUAGAUAUCAGGAGGAACACCGGUGGCGAAGGCGGCCCUCUGGACGGAUACUGACGCUGAGGCGCGAAAGCGUGGGGAUCAAACAGGAUUAGAUACCCUGGUAGUCCACGCUGUAAACGAUGGGGACUAGGUGUGGGGGGUAUUGACCCUCCCGUGCCGCCGCUAACGCAUUAAGUCCCCCGCCUGGGGAUUACGGCCGCAAGGUUA
rnacentral:rRNA from 1 species